rnacentral:rRNA from 1 species
UGGGGAAUAUUGCGCAAUGGGGGAAACCCUGACGCAGCGACGCCGCGUGCGGGAUGAAGGCCUUCGGGUUGUAAACCGCUUUUGAUUGGGAGCAAGCCUUUUGGGUGAGUGUACCUUUCGAAUAAGCGCCGGCUAACUACGUGCCAGCAGCCGCGGUAAUACGUAGGGCGCGAGCGUUGUCCGGAAUUAUUGGGCGUAAAGAGCUCGUAGGCGGUUUGUCGCGUCUGCUGUGAAAGACCGGGGCUUAACUCCGGGGCUGCAGUGGGUACGGGCAGGCUGGAGUGCGGUAGGAGUAACCGGAAUUCCUGGUGUAGCAGUGGAAUGCGCAGAUAUCAGGGGGAACACCGAUGGCGAAGGCAGGUUACUGGGCCGUUACUGACGCUGGGGAGCGAAAGCAUGGGGAGCGAACAGG